UACGGAGGAUGCGAGCGUUAUCCGGAUUUAUUGGGUUUAAAGGGUGCGUAGGCGGCGAGUUAAGUCAGCGGUAAAAGCCCGGGGCUCAACCCCGGCCCGCCGUUGAAACUGACGGUCUUGAGUGGGCGAGAAGUAUGCGGAAUGCGUGGUGUAGCGGUGAAAUGCAUAGAUAUCACGCAGAACUCCGAUUGCGAAGGCAGCAUACCGGCGCCCAACUGACGCUGAAGCACGAAAGCGUGGGUAUCGAACAGG
rnacentral:rRNA from 1 species